GGAGAGGUGGCUCAGCAGUUAAGAGCACUGGAUGCUCUUCCAGAGGACCUGGGUUAAAUUUCUAGCAUCCACA
rnacentral:tRNA from 1 species